GGUCCAAUCGUAUAGUGGCUUAUUAUGCUGUCUUAGGGCUUAAACACGGAAUCGAACCGUGAGCUGUAUGACAGAGGUCCCCGGUUCGAUUCCGGGUUGGACCC
rnacentral:tRNA from 1 species